rnacentral:rRNA from 1 species
UACGAAGGGGGGCUAGCGUUGCUCGGAAUCACUGGGCGUAAAGCGCACGUAGGCGGCUUUCUAAGUCAGGGGUGAAAUCCUGGAGCUCAACUCCAGAACUGCCUUUGAUACUGGAAAGCUUGAGUUCGGGAGAGGUGAGUGGAACUGCGAGUGUAGAGGUGAAAUUCGUAGAUAUUCGCAAGAACACCAGUGGCGAAGGCGGCUCACUGGCCCGAGUACUGACGCUGAGGUGCGAAAGCGUGGGGAGCAAACAGGAUUAAGAA